rnacentral:rRNA from 1 species
CUACGGGCUGCUCCAGUGGGGAAUAUUGGACAAUGGGGGAAACCCUGAUCCAGCAAUGCCGCGUGUGUGAAGAAGGCCUGCGGGUUGUAAAGCACUUUCGGUUGGGAGGACUGCUUCUAGCACUAAUAUUGUUGGAAGUUGACGUUACCUUCAGAAGAAGCACCGGCUAACUCCGUGCCAGCAGCCGCGGUAAUACGGAGGGUGCAAGCGUGAAUCGGAAUUACUGGGCGUAAAGCGCGCGUAGGCGGCUAGAUCAGUCGGGUGUGAAAGCCCCGGGCUUAACCUGGGAACUGCAUCCGAUACUGUCUAGCUUGAGUACAGGAGAGGAGAGUGGAAUUCCACAUGUAGCGGUGAAAUGCGUAGAUAUGUGGAGGAACACCAAUGGCGAAGGCAGCUCUCUGGCCUGAUACUGACGCUGAGGCGCGAAAGCGUGGGGAGCAAACAGGAUUAGAUACCCCCGUAGUC